GUCAGUCCAAUACAAGCUGUUCUCCCAUGACUGGAGUCAGAACCCACCUGAGGAGCUUUGAAAAAUCUGGAUCUACAUCCCAGACCAAUUACAUCGGAAUUUCUGUGUGUGGAACCCAAGCAUCAGUACUAUCUAAGAAUGUGCGUGGUCCAUUUGCCUGAUGGGCUUCCUGGUGAGAUGGCAGUGGCUGGAAGAGAGCAGAAAGAGGGUGUUCCUGUCUACGGAGCACAAACACAUCUGUCAUGGAGUCAAGCAGGGUGAAGAGAGGGAUCUAGGGGAAACACUGAAC